AUACGGAGGGUGCAAGCGUUGUUCGGAAUUACUGGGCGUAAAGCGCGCGUAGGUGGUCUGUUAUGUCAGAUGUGAAAGUCCACGGCUCAACCGUGGAAGUGCAUUUGAAACUGGCAGACUUGAGUACUGGAGGGGGUAGUGGAAUUCCCGGUGUAGAGGUGAAAUUCGUAGAUAUCGGGAGGAAUACCGGUGGCGAAGGAGACUACCUGGCCAGAUACUGACACUGAGGUGCGAAAGCGUGGGGAGCGAACAGGAUUAGAAACCCUAGUAGUCC
rnacentral:rRNA from 1 species